CCCGGAGACCCUUAGGAAACUAGGGGUGGCUUCCAUCUGGAAGAAUCUGGAGACAGGUGCUGCAUGGCUGUCGUCAGCUCGUGUCGUGAGAUGUUGGGUUAAGUCCCGCAACGAGCGCAACCCUGCCUUUAGUUGCCAGCAGUUCGGCUGGGCACUCUAAAGGGACUGCCGGUGUUAAACCGGAGGAAGGUGGGGAUGACGUCAAGUCCUCAUGGCCUUUAUGACCAGGGCUACACACGUACUACAAUGGCCGAUACAAAGGGCAGCGACACUGCGAGGUGAAGCCAAUCCCGUAAAAUCGGUCUCAGUCCGGAUUGGAGUCUGCAACUCGACUCCAUGAAGUUGGAAUCGCUAGUAAUCGUGGAUCAGCAUGCCACGGUGAAUACGUUCCCGGGCCUU
rnacentral:rRNA from 1 species